rnacentral:rRNA from 1 species
UAAAGAUUCAUCGCUGAUAGAUAGGCAUGCGUUCCAUUAGGCAGUUGGCGGGGUAACGGCCCACCAAACCGACGAUGGAUAGGGGCUCUGAGAGGAAGGUCCCCCACAUUGGUACUGAGACACGGACCAAACUCCUACGGGAGGCAGCAGUGAGGAAUAUUGGUCAAUGGGCGUAAGCCUGAACCAGCCAAGUCGCGUGAGGGAUGAAGGUUCUAUGGAUCGUAAACCUCUUUUAUAAGGGAAUAAAGUGUGGGACGUGUCCUAUUUUGUAUGUACCUUAUGAAUAAGGAUCGGCUAACUCCGUGCCAGCAGCCGCGGUAAUACGGAGGAUCCGAGCGUUAUCCGGAUUUAUUGGGUUUAAAGGGUGCGUAGGCGGCCUUUUAAGUCAGCGGUGAAAGUCUGUGGCUCAACCAUAGAAUUGCCGUUGAAACUGGGGGGCUUGAGUAUGUUUGAGGCAGGCGGAAUGCGUGGUGUAGCGGUGAAAUGCUUAGAUAUCACGCAGAACCCCGAUUGCGAAGGCAGCCUGCCAAGCCAUGACUGACGCUGAUGCACGAAAGCGUGGGGAUCAAACAGGAUUAGAUACCCUGGUAGUCCACGCAGUAAACGAUGAUCACUAGCUGUUUGCGAU